UGGGGAAUCUUGGACAAUGGGGGAAACCCUGAUCCAGCAAUUCCGCGUGAAUGAUGAAGGCCUUAGGGUUGUAAAGUUCUUUUAGUAAGGAAGAUGAUGACGGUACUUACAGAAAAAGCUCCGGCUAACUCCGUGCCAGCAGCCGCGGUAAUACGGAGGGGGCAAGCGUUGUUCGGAAUUACUGGGCGUAAAGAGCGAGCAGGUGGUUCAUUAAGUCAAUUGUGAAAGCUCAAGGCUUAACCUUGAAAUUGCUUUUGAUACUGAUGAACUAGAGUUUGGGAGAGGAUAGUGGAAUUCUAAGUGUAGAAGUGAAAUUCGUAGAUAUUUAGAGGAACACCGACAGCGAAGGCAACUAUCUGGCCCUUUACUGACACUCAGAAGCGAAAGCUUGGGUAGCAAACAGG
rnacentral:rRNA from 1 species